rnacentral:rRNA from 1 species
UACGAAGGGAGCUAGCGUUGUUCGGAAUUACUGGGCGUAAAGGGCGCGUAGGCGGUUUCGAUAGUCAGGCGUGAAAUCCCCAGGCUCAACCUGGGAAUUGCGCUUGAUACUGCGAGACUUGAGUGAGGGAGAGGAUAGUGGAAUUCCCAGUGUAGAGGUGAAAUUCGUAGAUAUUGGGAAGAACACCAGUGGCGAAGGCGGCUAUCUGGACCUCAACUGACGCUGAGGCGCGAAAGCGUGGGGAGCAAACAGGAUUAGAUACCCUGGUAGUCCACGCUGUAAACGAUGUGUGCUAGACGUCGGGAAGCCUAGCUUCUCGGUGUCGCAGCUAACGCGAUAAGCACACCGCCUGGGGAGUACGGUCGCAAGAUUAAA